rnacentral:lncRNA from 1 species
UCUCAUUUAAAUACUCCCUUGGUAAUAUUAUAAAAUUUGAAUUUCUAAAGAACUAAAUAGAUAUGACCAACAGUAUUUUCUGUUUCAACUAUAUUCUAAAACAAGUUUUUGACUUAUUUAACUUUUAAGCCCCCUUUUCCUGUAAAAAAAAAAUCUGCUCUGUCACAUUGCCAUUCAACAUCCUGUUCCCCUAUUUUCUCAGGCUCACAGGAAAAUUGUUCACUGUUGAUGAUUAAAAUAGGAAAAUACUUCCCACUGAUCAUUUUGUUUGAUCAAAACUUAACCUCAUUAACAAGAACUACUUAAAUCAAGGAAUACUGAGGACUUUCCUGUUUUCUUAACGAUAAGCCAUGUGAAACAAUUUUGCAAUAGAAGACUUCAGAUGACAUUAUAAUUUUUACAACGGAUGAAGCACAGACUGAAAGCCUGGUCUAAUACAACCUUCCUAAAGGUGUGCUCUGCUCACCUGGUCAUCCUGUUCUGUCACAGCCAAUCAUUAAUACAAUACACAGGAGACAGAGGGCAUCUGGAAGUCAGGAAAAUAGGAAGCAACAGAAGUAUUCCUUGAGGACACCGCACUAUGAUAGUUUGCGAUACGUUAAGCAUGAUUAUCCCCAGUACAAGGAAGGAAUACAUACUGAUUUCUAAUACAAAUGUCUAGAUUCUGUUCAUAAAAAGACUGAUAAGCACCAUUGCCUAACUAUGUAAAUAUAUCUUCAGA